rnacentral:tRNA from 1 species
CCCAUGGUGGCUCAGAUGGCAAAGCGUCUGUCUACAAUGCAGAAGACCCAGGUUCGAUCCUUGGGUUGGGA